rnacentral:rRNA from 1 species
UUCUUGGGGGAUUGACAGAUUCAGAGCUUUCUUCAUUCUGUAAAUGGUGGUGCAUGUCCGUUCUUAGUUGGUGGAGCGGUUUGUCUGGUUAAUUCCGAUAACGAAAGAGACUCUAGCCUACUAAAUAGGUGCGUGUUUCUCUGCACCUUGCACCCUUCUUAGAACAGGUCUGUGAUGCCCUUAG